rnacentral:rRNA from 1 species
UACGGAGGGCGCGAGCGUUGUCCGGAAUCACUGGGCGUAAAGGGCGCGUAGGCGGCCCUGGUAAGUCUGCGGUGAAAGCCCGGGGCUCAACCCCGGGUCGGCCGCGGGUACUGCCGGGCUGGAGUGCCGUAGGGGCAGGCGGAAUUCCGGGUGUAGCGGUGGAAUGCGUGGAGAUCCGGAAGAACACCGGUGGCGAAGGCGGCCUGCUGGGCGGCGACUGACGCUGAGGCGCGACAGCGUGGGGAGCAAACAGG